UUAUCCAUAAACUAAUAUUUAUAUUGAUCAACCAUUAAUAUUAUUUUUAUUAAUCUAAUUAAGUUUUUUUACUAGCUAUCUAACUAAAAUAAUUUACUAAUUAAUUAAAAAACCAAAUUAUUUUUUAUAUUUUCCAUUAAUUAAUUAAUAUAUUUUUUAUUAUUUUAUAAUACAAUAUUAAUAGCUAAUAAAUUUAUUACUUUAUUAAAUUAUUUUUAAUUAAUAUUUUGGUAUUAAUUAAUUAAAUAAAAUAUUUUAAUUUAAAAUUAUAAUUCUUGUCCAUGUUCCAAACAACAAAGCAAUUUUUUUUCAAACGUAAAAUUGAUCUAACCCCUGCUUAUAUCUAAAUUUAUACCUAUUUCAAGAAUAAACAGUUCUUAUUUAUAUCCGAACCAAACGCAGCAUAAGAGAGAGAUAGUAAGUAAGGAAGCAGUGACUGCAGGAUGGAUAA
rnacentral:lncRNA from 1 species